rnacentral:rRNA from 1 species
UAUGUGAUCGUCUCUCGCAUAUCAAUAAGCGGAGGAAAAGAAACUAACAAGGAUUCCCCUAGUAACGGCGAGUGAAGCGGGAAGAGCUCAAAUUUGAAAUCUUAAAGGGUUUCCCUUUACGAAUUGUAGUUUAAAGAAGUGUUUUCUGUUGAGGUUUUGGUAAAAGUUCUUUGGAAUAGGACAUCAUAGAGGGUGAGAAUCCCGUAUUUGACCUUUACUUUCAACUUUGUGAUACACUUUCAAAGAGUCGGAUUGUUUGGGAAUGCAGUCCAAAAUGGGUGGUAAAUUUCAUCUAAAGCUAAAUAUUGGCGAGAGACCGAUAGCGAACAAGUACCGUGAGGGAAAGAUGAAAAGAACUUUGAAAAGAGAGUUAAACAGUACGUGAAAUUGUCAAAAGGGAAGCGUUUGACACCAGUGUUGUUUUUCUGAAAAUCAAUUAAAGAACUGUUUAUGCUAAGCUGUUUAGACUUUAUCAGCUAUCUGUUUAGUUUUGAGCUUUUCUUUAAUGCACUUUUCAGUUAACAAGUCAACAUCAAUUUCUUUUGCUGUAAAAAAGCUUGAGGAAGGUGGCUUGAGAUUCGUCUUAAGUGUUUAUAGCCUCUUGCCUAUGCAGUCGGAGAGAUUGAGGUCUGCAGCGUAGAUCCUUCGGGGCUAAAUGCAUUUGUGCUAAGUUAUAGCAUUUUAUAGGCAACUUGUUGACUAUGAUUUGUCUUGUAGCUUACUCGCUUAUGUUAUUUUACCUACGCUUAGGAUGUUGAGUAGCGACAUACGCAC